rnacentral:rRNA from 1 species
AGCGUACACGGUGGAUGCCCUGGCAGUCAGAGGCGAUGAAGGACGUGCUAAUCUGCGAAAAGCGCCGGCGAGGUGAUAUGAACCUUUGACCCGGCGAUGUCCGAAUGGGGAAACCCAGUGCAAUCCGUUGCACUAUCGUUAACUGAAUACAUAGGUUAACGAGGCGAACCGGGGGAACUGAAACAUCUAAGUACCCCGAGGAAAAGAAAUCAACCGAGAUUCCCCCAGUAGCGGCGAGCGAACGGGGAGCAGCCCGGAGUCUGAAUCAGCUUGUGUGUUAGUGGAACGGUCUGGAAAGUCCGACGGUACAGGGUGAUAGUCCCGUACACGAAAAUGCACAUGCUGUGAACUCGAAGAGUAGGGCGGGACACGUGGUAUCCUGUCUGAAUAUGGGGGGACCAUCCUCCAAGGCUAAAUACUCCUGACUGACCGAUAGUGAACCAGUACCGUGAGGGAAAGGCGAAAAGAACCCCGGCGAGGGGAGUGAAAAAGAACCUGAAACCGUGUACGUACAAGCAGUGGGAGCCUCUUUAUGGGGUGACUGCGUACCUUUUGUAUAAUGGGUCAGCGACUUAUAUUCUGUAGCAAGGUUAACCGUAUAGGGGAGCCGAAGGGAAACCGAGUCUUAACUGGGCGUUAAGUUGCAGGGUAUAGACCCGAAACCCGGUGAUCUAGCCAUGGGCAGGUUGAAGGUUGGGUAACACUAACUGGAGGACCGAACCGACUAAUGUUGAAAAAUUAGCGGAUGACCUGUGGCUGGGGGUGAAAGGCCAAUCAAACCGGGAGAUAGCUGGUUCUCCCCGAAAGCUAUUUAGGUAGCGCCUCGUGAACUCAUCUUCGGGGGUAGAGCACUGUUUCGGCUAGGGGGCCAUCCCGGCUUACCAACCCGAUGCAAACUACGAAUACCGAAGAAUGUUAUCACGGGAGACACACGGCGGGUGCUAACGUCCGUCGUGAAGAGGGAAACAACCCAGACCGCCAGCUAAGGUCCCAAAGUCAUGGUUAAGUGGGAAACGAUGUGGGAAGGCACAGACAGCCAGGAUGUUGGCUUAGAAGCAGCCAUCAUUUAAAGAAAGCGUAAUAGCUCACUGGUCGAGUCGGCCUGCGCGGAAGAUGUAACGGGGCUAAACCAUGCACCGAAGCUGCGGCAGCGACACUUAUGUGUUGUUGGGUAGGGGAGCGUUCUGUAAGCCGUUGAAGGUGUGCUGUGAGGCAUGCUGGAGGUAUCAGAAGUGCGAAUGCUGACAUAAGUAACGAUAAAGCGGGUGAAAAGCCCGCUCGCCGGAAGACCAAGGGUUCCUGUCCAACGUUAAUCGGGGCAGGGUGAGUCGACCCCUAAGGCGAGGCCGAAAGGCGUAGUCGAUGGGAAACAGGUUAAUAUUCCUGUACUUGGUGUUACUGCGAAGGGGGGACGGAGAAGGCUAUGUCAGCCGGGCGACGGUUGUCCCGGUUUAAGCAUGUAGGCGGAGGUUCCAGGUAAAUCCGGUACCUUGUUAACGCUGAGGUGUGAUGACGAGGCACUACGGUGCUGAAGUGAUAAAUGCCCUGCUUCCAGGAAAAGCCUCUAAGCAUCAGGUAACACGAAAUCGUACCCCAAACCGACACAGGUGGUCAGGUAGAGAAUACCAAGGCGCUUGAGAGAACUCGGGUGAAGGAACUAGGCAAAAUGGUGCCGUAACUUCGGGAGAAGGCACGCUGAUGUGUAGGUGAAGCCCCUGCGGGUGGAGCUGAAAUCAGUCGAAGAUACCAGCUGGCUGCAACUGUUUAUUAAAAACACAGCACUGUGCAAACACGAAAGUGGACGUAUACGGUGUGACGCCUGCCCGGUGCCGGAAGGUUAAUUGAUGGGGUUAGCGGCAACGCGAAGCUCUUGAUCGAAGCCCCGGUAAACGGCGGCCGUAACUAUAACGGUCCUAAGGUAGCGAAAUUCCUUGUCGGGUAAGUUCCGACCUGCACGAAUGGCGUAAUGAUGGCCAGGCUGUCUCCACCCGAGACUCAGUGAAAUUGAACUCGCUGUGAAGAUGCAGUGUACCCGCGGCAAGACGGAAAGACCCCGUGAACCUUUACUAUAGCUUGACACUGAACACUGGUCCUUGAUGUGUAGGAUAGGUGGGAGGCUUUGAAGCGUGGACGCCAGUCUGCGUGGAGCCAACCUUGAAAUACCACCCUUUAAUGGCUGGUGUUCUAACGUGGACCCGUAAUCCGGGUUGCGGACAGUGUCUGGUGGGUAGUUUGACUGGGGCGGUCUCCUCCCAAAGAGUAACGGAGGAGCACGAAGGUUGGCUAAUCCUGGUCGGACAUCAGGAGGUUAGUGCAAUGGCAUAAGCCAGCUUGACUGCGAGCGUGACGGCGCGAGCAGGUGCGAAAGCAGGUCAUAGUGAUCCGGUGGUUCUGAAUGGAAGGGCCAUCGCUCAACGGAUAAAAGGUACUCCGGGGAUAACAGGCUGAUACCGCCCAAGAGUUCAUAUCGACGGCGGUGUUUGGCACCUCGAUGUCGGCUCAUCACAUCCUGGGGCUGAAGUAGGUCCCAAGG